UACGUAGGGCGCAAGCGUUGUCCGGAAUUAUUGGGCGUAAAGAGCUCGUAGGCGGCUUGUCGCGUCGGUUGUGAAAGCCCGGGCUUAACCCCGGGUCUGCAGUCGAUACGGGCAGGCUAGAGUUCGGUAGGGGAGAGUCGGAAUUCCUGGUGUAGCGGUGGAAAUACGGCAGAUAUCAGGAGGAACACCCGGUGGCGAAGGCGGGAUCUCUGGGCCGAUACUGACGUGAGGAGCGAAAGCGUGGGGAGCGAACAGG
rnacentral:rRNA from 1 species